rnacentral:rRNA from 1 species
CCGCGUGUGUGAAGAAGGCCUUUUGGUUGUAAAGCACUUUCAGCAGGUGAAGAAGAGCUAACGGUUAAUACCCGGUUAGCGAUGACAUUAGCUGCAGAAUAAGCACCGGCUAACUCUGUGCCAGCAGCCGCGGUAAUACAGAGGGUGCAAGCGUUAAUCGGAAUUACUGGGCGUAAAGCGAGCGAUAGGUGGCUUGAUAAGUCAGAUGUGAAAUCCCCGGGCUUAACCUGGGAACUGCAUCUGAUACUGUUAAACUAGAGUAGGGGAGAGGGAAGUAGAAUUCCAGGUGUAGCGGUGAAAUGCGUAGAGAUCUGGAGGAAUACCGAUGGCGAAGGCAGCUUCCUGGCAUCAUACUGACACUGAUGCUCGAAAGCGUGGGUAGCAAACAGGAUUAGAUACCCUGGUAGUCCACGCCGUAAACGAUGUCUACUAGUCGUUGGGUCCCUUGAGGACUUAGUGACGCAGCUAACGCAAUAAGUAGACCGCCUGGGGAGUACGGCCGCAAGGUUAAAACUCAAAUGAAUUGACGGGGGCCCGCACAAGCGGUGGAGCAUGUGGUUUAAUUCGAUGCAACGCGAAGAACCUUACCUGGUCUUGACAUACACAGAAUCUUGUAGAGAUACGAGAGUGCCUUCGGGAAUUGUGAUACAGGUGCUGCAUGGCUGUCGUCAGCUCGUGUCGUGAGAUGUUGGGUUAAGUCCCGCAACGAGCGCAACCCUUGUCCUUAGUUACCAGCGGGUUAAGCCGGGAACUCUAAGGAUACUGCCAGUGACAAACUGGAGGAAGGCGGGGACGACGUCAAGUCAUCAUGGCCCUUACGACCAGGGCUACACACGUGCUACAAUGGUAGGUACAGAGGGCAGCUACGCAGCGAUGUGAUGCUAAUCUCACAAAGCCUAUCGUAGUCCAGAUUGGAGUCUGCAACUCGACUCCAUGAAGUAGGAAUCGCUAGUAAUCGCGGAUCAAAUGCCACGGUGAAUACGUUCCCGGGGCCUUGUACACACCGCCCGUCACACCAUGGGAGUUGAUUGCACCAGAAGUGGUUAGCCUAACCUUUUAGGAAAGCGAUCACCACUGUGUGGUU